rnacentral:rRNA from 1 species
CACCGCGGUUAUACGAGAGACCCAAGUUGAUAGUUGACGGCGUAAAGAGUGGUUAAGAAAACCCAUAAACUAAAGCCGAACACUUUCAAAACUGUUAUACGUAUUCGAAAGCAAGAAGCCCAACCACGAAAGUGGCUUUAUACCACCUGAACCCACGAAAGCUAAGAAA